AAAGGAUGGUGCAAAGCAUGGCAAAGAAAGAGCCACGAUGAGGAGCUUAGAGAGGAACGUGUAAAUCGCUAUCUAUAUAUCUCUUCGAAAAUGGAGGAGAAAUGAUUUUGAUUAGAAAUGUUUCCUUUUCUCUCUCUAAGGUAAUGAAGAUGAAGGAGAAGAAGAAAUUAAACAACAAUAUGUACGUGGUUCGGCCUAAGAUAACCUACAUCUACAGGAAGGGAAAAUACACUUUAUUGAAGGAUUUUUCAAGAAGAUAAGUCUACUUUUUCAUAUUUUCUUUUUACAGUAGAAGUUUUGUGUUUAAAAUUGUUUGAACUAUUAAUAUAGAAAAAGAAAGAUUGUAACAAAUUUGUUAAACAGAUUGUUGUAGUUUAAUGAACUAGCCAUUGAAAUCAUUAUUGCUUCAAAUCUUCACCUUAAUCUCAACCUUGUAGCUUUCACCCUUAUAGAUCUGAUGUUUUUCUAACCUUUUUCAGGUAACAGAAAGCUGAUAUGCUCGAGACAUUUAGCAAGCUUGAACUUCGUAAUGAGCUUAGUAAGCAUAUCAGCUACAUUUUCGGAGCGAGUUGAAAUAUUACAGAAGUGGGCUGCGCUUCAUCAAUUCCUAAUUUCUUGAAAAUUGAGAGUGGCAUAAGGUUGAUGCUUGCUCCCAGAUCACACAGUGCAUGUCCCACAUCUAGCCCUCUGAUUGAGCACAGGACUGUGAAGCUUCCCAGAUCCUUCUGUUUCUUGGAAUAUCCUUAAAAAAUUUGACGUACUUUGGCAUUUGUUCUAAGGCUUCUACAAAUGGGAUAUUAAUGUGCAGUUGCCUCAGAAGUUCAAGAAAAGCUUAAACUGUUGCUCAUCAUUCUUUUUCAGCAAGCGUCUGGGAAAUGGUGCUUUCAGCUGCACCGCAGGUUCUCUUGCAUUAGACAUGCUUGUGUUCGAAUGACUUAUGGAUUCUGACGUCCGUUCUUCUUGAUCUUCCAAUGCCUUCAGGCGUGUUGUGUGCUCAGUUGAAGGAUUGUUGGUUCUUGGGUUCACGGUUCCUUCUACAAGAGGUCUGUCACUUCGCAAUAUCACCGCAUGACAUUGCUCUUUUUCGUUGUUAUUUCCUGAGGUUUUCGUAUUGCUGAGCAAGACUCCUGGCGGCCAAUUCUUCAGCUCACUAGCAAUUUGCCCCAAUUGUAUCUCCAGAUUUCUAAUGGAUGACGCUUGGCUUUAAGAGGUUUUCAAGCAGAGAAGUUGAACUCGAUGCAUGACUUCCUUUAUUAAAGGAUUGUUGGUGCGGCUGCUACGAUGGCUAGAAUCCAAGCGACGGUCCUUGCUUAUGCUGCUGAUUUACCCCUGGUUGGUGUUGCUCCUGUUGGUGACCUCCCCAAGAGAAAUUUGGAUGGUUCCUUCAUUCGAGAUUAUAGGUGUUCGAGAAUGGAUUGUUUUUAAUAAAGCAUACUGACUGCAGAUUAUGUGGGCAAUCAGUGUAGGAAUGAGGAUCUCCACAGCCCACACAACUAACCAUGGCCUGUACGAAUGUUUCCACCUAAUUUACCUUUUGCAAGUUUGAUGCAUUCCCCAGUGAUAUAUUCUGCAAAAGGUUUGUCAUGGUAGCUAGUGUGCAGAGAGCGUGGCUAUUGGGUUAGAAUCAACAGAGUUCACAUUCUAAGAUCGUCUCCUCUUAUAUGCUCCUACGUCAUAAGUGUCAUCUACCCAUUCCAUAUUAUGCUUGGCGAUGCGGUCCAGUAUUUCCUUAGCUUCGUUAUAUGAUUUGUCCAUGAUACCACCAGCUGUAGCUGUAUCGGCUGCCAUUUGAGAUGCUCUGUUUAAUCCGCCAUAAAAGGUUUCCAUCUGGAUAGUUAAAGGUAGUUCAUGAUUGGGGCAAUUCUUGACCAGUCCUUUAAAGCGCUCCCAUGCGGCACUUAAGGUUUCAAAUUCUUCUUGCUAAAAGUUCAUUAUCUCUCUCCGACUUCUUGCAUUCGUGGUGGAUGGGAAAUAUUUUUGUAUGAAUUUAUCCACUAACUUUUUCCAGAUUGUUAUCUCCCUAGGCUUCAAAGAACUUGCCCAUUGUUUUGCUUCGUCAUGUAGAGAAUAUGGGUUAAUCCUAGGAAUCGCAAACGAGUUGCACAUCUCCAGGAAACAUUUCAUGUGGGCAUGAGGGUCUUUUCCCCGAGCACCCCCAAACUGGCCAGCUAUUUCAAGCAUUUAUAACAUUACAUAUUUCAUCACAAAUCUUGUCCCAUCUGGCGUUGGAUAUAUGAUCCUUGGUGAGAAAUCAUACAACACAAGAGACACAUACUCCCGCAUGGGACACGUACUACUGUUUGCCAUUAUGAUAGGAUUUUGAGCAGCGUGGGCUAGCUAUUGAGCUAAGUUAUGAUUUGCUUGUUCGUCAGCCAUUUGUUGUUGCCUGAUUUGCUGUCUGGGUAGUUGUUGCCUUAACCUACGGUGACGAUUAAAUCGAUUUCUUCGUCAAAUGGUCCUUUCAACUUUGGGGUCGUAUACAAGUUCAGGAGUGUUUUCCCUUCUCAUAAACAUUUACAAGCUUAGGCUUAGCUCGUAAUAAUCCCUCAGCUGUAGUUUUCCUAUAAAAGAUAUAAGCAAAAUUUUUGGUUAGUUUUAUUGCUAAAUCCCCAGCAACGGUGCCAAAAACUUGUUCGCUGGAUUCGUGAUGCAAGCUUAGGAGUGUAUUGUAUAAGGUAAUUGGAAAAAUAGAGUGCAAAUGUGAUUGAUGUGUUGAUGCGUUAGUGAUGCGUGAAGGGACGCGUUACACUCCUCUUUAUGCGUUCAAUUUUUCCUGAAUCAGAUCCAAGUAUAAAUCCAAUUCAGGUUCCUGGUAAGUUCAGGGUCAAACAUAGGGAUUUAGAUUAAAGCUAACGUAAAGCUUGCGUUGUAGCUGAUGUAGAAGUAUCCUAAGUGAAUGCGGAAUGAUCUACACUAAGUUUAUUGUGUGCGUGCAAGAAGAUACAAAAUUCUCUCUCGAGCUAAGCUUUCUCCACUGCUUGAUCGAUGGUGGGGGUGGUUCUCUUCCUUCUUGUGUUCUUGUCACAGCAGCACAGCUCUAAGCCUCUAAAUUUCAAAAUUAUAUAAAUUGAGCUAAUUCUUUCUCCAUCUGGUGGGACUUUCUUCUAUAUAUAGGUGUUAUUCUUCACUAGCUUAAUGAUGGGGCAACAUUAAAUUCCAUACCUUAGUCAGCCGCCUGACACUCAGAAACUUUUCAGACGCCGUCAGCUGUAGAUGUCCAUGCUUGCAAAUGGUGAUUUGACACAAACAGCUUGAAUCAAUGAAUCUUCCUCGUGUUGAAACCCUUCUGACGCAUGCUUAUGCGUUGACGUUGCCUGUGACACAGAAUCUUUGUUGAAAUCCUGCAAUAUUAUGCAUUAGUGCCUCAUUUUUCAGUAAUAAACACUCUUUUGUAUGAGUUUAGUAGUGCUCGAGUAAUUCCAUGCGUUUUCUCUAAGAAUGAUGAGAUUUUAUCAUUAAAAAUCCUAAUUGUUCCAACUUUUGAGAGACAAUAACUUGUAUUUCUACAAGUUAUCAGCUGUGGCGAACUCCAUGGAGCCUAGAAGUCACAAGCGCGGCAAAGAUAUAAAGCGGAAGUAUCAUCUUAUCUGCAAGAUAAUGCAUCGAGGGGACGUGAUAGUCACGAAGAUCGAUUCGGAGCACAACGCUGCUUACCAGUUUACGAAGGCUCUCACGACUACAGUUUUUUAGGGUCACCUUCAGAUCAUGAGUCUGCGGACUGCCCGCGGCUGGACUAGGGAAAGUGGGAGAUUUUUGAACUGCGCCUUAGUGCCGUAGUUUAUUAUUUUGUACUUGUUAUUAUGUUGUAAACCUACUCGUUUUAGGACAAGUGAGAGAUUGUUGGUGUUGAUGCCUUAAACUUUCGUAGGGUUCUGUAGUUUGUAAACACCUGU